rnacentral:rRNA from 1 species
UACGUAGGGGGCAAGCGUUAUCCGGAUUCAUUGGGCGUAAAGCGCGCGUAGGCGGCGCUCUAAGCGGAACCUCUAAUCUCCAGGCUCAACCUGGAACCGGGUUCCGAACUGGGGUGCUCGAGUGUGGUAGAGGCAGGCGGAAUUCCCGGUGUAGCGGUGGAAUGCGCAGAUAUCGGGAAGAACACCGAUGGCGAAGGCAGCCUGCUGGGCCAAUACUGACGCUGAGGCGCGAAAGCUAGGGGAGCGAACA